AUGAACGCUGGCGGCGUGCUUAACACGUGCAAGUCGAACGAUGAAGCCCAGCUUGCUGGGUGGAUUAGUGGCGAACGGGUGAGUAACACGUGAGUAACCUGCCCUUAACUCUGGGAUAAGCCUGGGAAACUGGGUCUAAUACCGGAUAGGAGCGCCUACCGCAUGGUGGGUGUUGGAAAGAUUUAUCGGUUUUGGAUGGACUCGCGGCCUAUCAGCUUGUUGGUGAGGUAAUGGCUCACCAAGGCGACGACGGGUAGCCGGCCUGAGAGGGUGACCGGCCACACUGGGACUGAGACACGGCCCAGACUCCUACGGGAGGCAGCAGUGGGGAAUAUUGCACAAUGGGCGAAAGCCUGAUGCAGCGACGCCGCGUGAGGGAUGACGGCCUUCGGGUUGUAAACCUCUUUCAGUAGGGAAGAAGCGAAAGUGACGGUACCUGCAGAAGAAGCACCGGCUAACUACGUG
rnacentral:rRNA from 1 species